CGCGGGGUGGAGCAGCUUGGUAGCUCGUCGGGCUCAUAACCCGAAGGUCGGAGGUUCAAAUCCUCCCCCCGCUACCA
rnacentral:tRNA from 3 species